UCCCCAGCUUUCCUUGGCUAUGACAAAACACUGAAGACAAGCAGCUCGCGGGUUGGAAGGAUUUAUUUGGGUGCAUGACACAGUGAGCAUCCGCAGCCAAUGCAGGAAUAGCUGCUGUCCACUGAGCCCACUCCUCCCACAUUCCCCCCCAUGUGCCACGGGUCCCAGGGACUUGUGUGGAUGUGCAGGACUUGAGGCUUUGUUAUCUCGUCUUCUGAUUUCUCCGAAGUUGUCUGGUUUACAGAGGUGGAAGCCUGACUCCCUUUAGUUUGGCUCAGGAGGAGGUUCUUCCUGAACAGUGACAGUCUUGAUUACACGCACAUUCGUGGCCACCCCAAAGAGCAGUGCCGCUAUUAUUGCGUACAGGCGACCAAACAAUAGUCUCAUAUACUGCACUGCCUCCUUUGAGUGGAUUACGGUCCGCAAUUUUCUUGGAGGUGGCCCACCGCUCGUACUCCCACCAGCACCUCUUUUUUUACACAGUGGAGGGUCCCAACCUACAUGGCAAUGACAUUCCUUUUGGUUGUUGCAAAGUCCCCUAAAAUUGCACUUAUCCGGAGUACAGUCAUAAUGUAUUCUUGAUACGGAGCCAUUGCAAGAGUUUCUAUCACAGAAUUUUCCAGGGGCACAGACUGUACCAGUUCGCACAUGUCCCACAUCAACGGUUUGCGUCUGACGGUGUUCAUCCACCCCAAAACACCAAGACUUAUCAUACUUAGACUGAUGGAAUGAAACAUGUUCCUGCAACCGGGGAAGGCCGCUCAAAACAGGAGAGGAGCAAAGACCCCUGCCAACAGCCAGCCCUCAAAAGGCCCACAGUGUCGUGUGUCUCUCCUGUGCCCAGCGGCGUGCCUGCACCCCAAGUGUGGACCUGACUCUGGACAGAUAAGCUGGGCAACAGGCACCUUGAGGGAGAAAAAGUGCUCCAAGAGUUGGAAUGGAGAAGAG
rnacentral:lncRNA from 1 species